UUUAAUAUUCAGUUAAAUAACACUCAGAGUAAACCUGUGAGGAAAGUAUAUUCAGGGGUUAUAACUUUAAAUAAUAAAGAAUAAAAUAUUAUAUUAAGAGACUCAAACUCCUGCUUGUCAGGUGACACAUGAAAGUGAAACUAUUAUAAGCAGGAUCCGUUUUGUCAUAUGAGGAAGUAAACUACAUUAAGAGAGAAAAACACAGUCAUUACUGUGGACUGACUGAUGAGACAGAGGUGGAUUUGAGAAAAUUAAAUACUGAGAUGAUUCAUAACUCACUCUGUGCAGGGCCGGCCCUGGCCAAUUUGCUGCCCUAGGCAAGAUUUUACCUGGUGCCCCUUGCUUCACAGCCCAUUCCACCAAUAAUACAUUUUCUUAUUUACAAAAAAAAAAAAAAAAAAAAAAAGCUGAUGAUAGUGAAAUGGUAACACUUACAAUAAGGUACCAUUUGUUAACAUUAGUGAAUGUAUUAACUAACUUGAACUAACAAUAAACAAUACAUUUGUAACAGUAUAAAUUUGAAAAGUGUUCGACUUCCAGUAGAUGGCAGCAAUGUUUUACUAAACUAGCCCUUGCUAACAGUAUCACCUCGAAUUUAACUGAGAAACGUACAUCUUUAAAGUGAAUUUUACAUAAAAUGUUGCUAUUUUAAUAAGCCCAGUUAUAUACAAAUAUUAGUAAAUUAGCCAAUUCCAUUAGCCAAAUACCAUAGAUCCCCAAAUACUACACACUACUACUAGCGUAAAAAUAUUAUUAAAAUGUGUUAUCAUGCGACACGAAAAAUGACACGAUUAUGUUACAAAGUUUCGGAUCUCUGGUACUCCAUUGUUAUUACCCCAUUUUAAACUUUUAGGCUAGGCCAACAUUAAGUUUGUUCACAAACUUUUACCUCAUGUAGUUUAUUUAUAUGAUCAUCAUUCAUUACAUCAUAUUACCUCUGUCUUUGUCCCGGUUUUUCUUCCCUAUGCACCAGAGGGCUUCGGUCUUUUUGACAUACUGAUAAUUUAUUAGUGAAGUGGAACGUCUAUCACAAUCAGGUGACUGAUGUAUGUGGAAGUGCGGCUGUGCGGGGGGAGAUUGAUCAUGUGUCGAACCGAAUAGUUAUGUUUUUGUCGGAUAAUCGCUUUUUUGUAAUAUUUUAAAUUGAUAGCAUUGAAGUAGUAUUGGUAAAAAAACAAAAACAAAAAAAAGCAAAAAAACAACAACAACAACAAAAAAAAACA